UACGGAGGAUGCAAGCGUUAUCCGGAUUUAUUGGGUUUAAAGGGUGCGCAGGUUGUUUGAUAAGUCAGUGGUGAAAGUCUGUCGCUUAACGGUAGGAUUGCCAUUGAUACUGUUGGACUUGAAUAUGGAUGAGGUAGGCGGAAUGUGUAGUGUAGCGGUGAAACGCAUAGAUAUUACACAGAAAACCGAUUGCGAAGGCAGCUUACUAAUCCAUCAUUGACGCUGAGGCACGAAAGCGUGGGGAUCAAACAGGAUUA
rnacentral:rRNA from 1 species